AUGAGAUCGCUAUUCAACCGCCUGCCUUGCAAGCGUCUCGCCGCAGCUCGCCGGAGUCGCCGCUGCCUGCACUCCCACUCCCAACCGCACCCUCUCCUCGCAACCUUCUCCCGCCUCUGCGACGAUGGCCCCCUCCCGGCCGCGCUCUCGCUGCUCCCCGACCUCGCCGCGGCCGGCGUCCGCGCGGACCCCAUCUCGCUCUGCCGCCUCAUCAAGCUCUGCGUCCGCCACGGCACGGCCAACGACGGCCGCCUCAUCCAUGACCAUGUCUCCCGCACGGCCAACAGUGGAGGAGAAGCGCCCCACACCGGCCUCUUCGUCUCCAACUCCCUCAUCUCCAUGUACGCCAAAUUCGGCUUGCUCCACGACGCGCUCGAGCUGUUCGGCGGAAUGCCUCACAGGAACGUCGUCUCUUGGACGACCGUCGUCGCGGCUCUGGCCAAUGCCGGCGGGAGGAAAGAGGAGGCGCUCAGGUUUCUUGUGGACAUGAAGAGGGACGACGUGGCUCCCAACAGUUACACAUACUCUAGUGUUCUUGGUGCCUGCGGCACACCUGGGGUGCUCGCUGCUGUGCACGCGAGCAUUGUUAAGGUCGGGCUGGAUUCGGAUGUGUUUGUGCGGAGCUCCUUGAUUGAUGCGUAUAUGAAGCUUGGAGAUUUGGACAGCGGGCGCGGGGUCUUUGACGAGAUGGUCACCCGUGAUUUGGUUGUGUGGAAUUCGAUUAUCGCGGGGUUCGCACAGAGCGGUGAUGGUGUUGGGGCGGUAGAAUUGUUCAUGAGGAUGAAGGAGUCUGGUUUCCCAGCUAACCAGGGUACCUUGACCAGUGUCCUCCGGGCGUGCACCGGGAUGGUCAUGCUCGACUUGGGAAGGCAGGUACAUGCUCAUGUGCUCAAGUAUGAGAGGGACUUGAUUCUGCACAAUGCACUUCUGGACAUGUACUGCAAAUGUGGGAGCUUGCAGGAGGCAGACGCCUUGUUCAGCAGAAUGCCUCGUAGGGAUGUGAUCUCAUGGAGCACCAUGGUCUCUGGUUUGGCGCAGAAUGGGAGAAGCGCCGAGGCGCUGAAGGCUUUCGACUUGAUGCAAUCUGAAGGACCUACACCAAACCGUAUAACAAUGGUUGGAGUUCUGUUUGCAUGCAGUCAUGCUGGCUUGGUGGAAGAUGGCUGGUAUUACUUUAGGUCCAUGGAGAAGCUCUUUGGCAUUCAGCCUGAGAGGGAGCAUUGCAACUGCAUGGUUGAUCUCCUUGGUCGGACAGGGAAGCUUGACGAAGCUGUGAAGUUCAUCAGUGAGAUGAACUUUGAGCCGGAUUCGGUCAUAUGGAGAACUCUUCUUGGGGCAUGCAGAAUGCACAAAAACGCUAACCUUGCAGCAUAUGCAGCAAGAGAGAUCCUUAAACUUGAGCCGGAAGACCAAGGUGCGCGCAUAUUGUUGUCAAAUACAUAUGCUGAUUUGCGACAAUGGUUAGAUGCCGAGAAGUCAUGGAAGGUGAUGAGAAACCAAGGGGCCAAAAAAGAGCCCGGGCGCAGCUGGAUCGAGCUGGGGAAACAAGUCCAUGUGUUCAUUGCUGGUGAACUGUCACACCCAUGCUCAGCUGGCAUAGUUCAGGAACUGAACCGACUAAUCAGGAGGGUCACAGACCUCGGUUAUGUCCCGCUGACAGAGUUUGUGCUGCAGGAUCUUGAGAGUGAGCAGAAGGAAGAUCUGCUGAAAUAUCACAGCGAGAAACUUGCUGUUGCAUUUGCAAUGAUGAAUUCAAUGAAGGGGAAGCCUGUAAGGAUCAUGAAGAACCUCAGGAUCUGUGGUGACUGCCACUCGUUCGUGAAGCUCGUCUCCAAGAGUGAAGGCAAGGUGAUCAUAAUCAGGGAUCCGGUUCGGUUCCACCAUUUCCAGGAUGGAGUUUGCUCAUGUGGCGACUAUUGGUAG
rnacentral:rRNA from 1 species